rnacentral:rRNA from 1 species
UAUCCAUUAUGGAAAAUUCAACAUUAAUAUUAUAAUAUUUAUUUAUAAAUCAUUAUAAAAAUAGUGUGCAAUUUUUCCAUAUAAGGACAUUGUAAUCUGUUAAUGUAAUAAAUAUUUAUCAUAAGAUUCAAUAAAAAUAAAAGUUUAUUCAAAUUAGUUAUUUUCCGAUUUCUAACAUAGAAUAAAUUUAAUUGAAUUUGAUAAAUCAUUGACAGAUUUAUUUAUAUAUAGUGCUUAAAUUCUUAAUUGAAUUUUACAAUAAUUUUUAAAUGUAUUUUCAUUUAUUUAUUUAUUGUAUGCACUUAUAUGAUUAACAAUGCUAUAGAUUCAGGAUACCUUCGGGACCCGUCUUGAAACACGGACCAAGGAGUCUAACAUAUGUGCAAGUCAUUGGGUAUUUUUAAUAAAACCCAAAGGCAUAAUUAACUUAACUGUUUUAUAUAUAUGGGAUUAGUUUAUAUUUUAUUAUGAAAUAUUAAUUCAAUCCCAGGGCGUUCUAUAUAGUUAUGUAUAAUAAUAUUUAUAUUAUUUAUGCCUCUAACUAGAGCGUACCUUGAGCAUAUAUGCUGUGACC